UACAGAGGGGGCAAGCGUUAUUCGGAAUUAUUGGGCGUAAAGGGCGCGUAGGCGGCCAUUCAAGUGACGGGUGAAAGCCCUCGGCUUAACCGAGGAACUGCCUGUCAGACUGGAUGGCUUGAGACCGGGAGAGGUGAGUGGAAUUCCCAGUGUAGCGGUGAAAUGCGUAGAUAUUGGGAGGAACACCAGUGGCGAAGGCGGCUCACUGGACCCGACUGACGCUGAGGCGCGAAAGCGUGGGUAGCAAACAGG
rnacentral:rRNA from 1 species